AUGGCCUCCAGCAUCCAUGAAUCCACUGCAGAACCCCUCCUGGUAAUCAUGAACCCCCUGCUCCUAUCAUCAGCAUGCUCUGGCUCUUGGCAGGACUUGGAGUUUCUGCUCAACAGGGGAAUCGAUCAAGUGCAACCUUCCAUUAUGCCUAGUCAAGCAUUUCUUGACCUGCUUAUGGCCUACGGCUCCGACAGCUGCAUCAACAAAAGCGCGUCAACGCAGCGAGUUUCCGAUGAUAUCGAAGCAUUUCUUAACCUGCCUUCAACUGUGCCGUCACUCCUGGAUGGAGUCACCACUGAAGGGGGCACCGUACUCCAUGUGGUGGCCACAUAUGGCGACAGUGAUGGCUUCUUGAGGAGUGUGGACACCAUCCAUAGCAAGGCAAAACACCUUCUGUUUGCGCAAAACAAUAACGGCGACACGCCCCUGCACUGUGCUGCACGAGCUGGGAUGUUCCGGAUGGUCUCUCAUCUCAUUAGUUUGGCCAGAGAUGAGAGUACGAGUGUUAACAGAGUGAAGGAAUUCGUGGAAAUGGAGAACAAGCUUAAGGAGACAGCAUUGCAUCAGGCAGUCCAUAUUGGGGAUAAUGACAUAGUCAAGCUGCUAAUGGAGGAAAAUUCAGAGUUGGCCAGUAUUCCGAAAGACGGCACUUCACCUCUGUACCUGGCUAUCUUGCUGGAAGAGGACAUCAUUGCUGAGACACUUUAUAGUGCAAGUAACAUGUAG
rnacentral:rRNA from 1 species